CUGGCCUUUCUGUUUGCAGGGUGUGGGAGAGCACAGGGCUUUGUGGGUCCCUGGGGCCCUGCCAGGCACUGAGCUGUUGCUCAGCUGUGGGAGGCACGCCAGUUCUCAGGUCUGCUAAUGAGUGGUGUGGUGUCUGGCAAGGAUCUUGCCUGCGAGUGAGUGUGACUAAUCAUGAAUCUUUUCAAUAACGCUGACAAUUCAUUCUCCUGUCUCUCCUUCACCCGCUUUCUUUGCUGGACCUGGCUGAAAUAGGAGCAAAUUAGUCUCAUUUUGGAAAAGACAGAACAUGCACAAAGGACCCCCCUGAAAGGUUUCCAGUGCUCUGUUCCCGGAUGCGUUGCAGUCAGUGUAAUUACCUGAUGUGGGUGAGUGCACGGAGCAGUUUUUGUUGCUGUUUCCCAUAUUUCAUAGUGGGCAUCUGAAGACACCUGUCUGCGCCACUGGCCUAUUGGACAUGUUUGCAUUUGACACCAGGAAAAGCAGUGGUGUGAUUAUCCCAUGAGUGCUCCAGCUCUGGAACUGGGCAUCUGUGCACUCACUGUUCAAACGCUUUCUUUCAUCAGCUAUGAUUCCUGACCCCUCAGGUAAAUGUGCCAGAUUUUGAAUGCCAGAGCUCCCUUGUUGGGGUGAAAGUCCAAGAUGGAAUAAGGGUGUCCUCAGGCUUAACCUUUCUGCCUGCUGCCCACUUUGUGCUCUUCUGGGUUCACUGUGCCUCUAACAGCACAGCCAAGCUUCGGGUUCUCUCACAGGGAAGGUGCAGGGACGUUAGCGUUAGUGCUAUAGUCUGUUGGGGUUGAGAAGCUUUGUGCCAGCUCCCCUGCUGUUGAUUCAGAUCUUUCAGAGGAGAGCAGCAAUUCUCUAACAGCGUGUGCCCUCAUCAUGACCAGAUCUCCGGGAUGACUCAGAAAAAGAGGCAUGGACGUGGCCCUGUGAAAGGACCAUCUCUUUUCAGCAUGGGGCAGGAGCCAAACUGUACCCUGGAACACCUACAGAUAUCAUUGGUUUGACCUGGACAAGAACUCAGAGGCGGGUAAGUAGAUGGCACACAUCGGUUAUAUCAGUUCAUGCUUUGUCAGAGGUCUCCAGAUUAUUCAGUCUCAUUAGAGACCUUUUGCAUGAAUACAGUGAUCCCAGACUACUAUAAAGUUAUUAAAUUCAGUAGAUAAUGAAAUCUUCAUUUUACUAGUAG
rnacentral:lncRNA from 1 species